GUAAGUCUCAGUUCGGAUUGAAGGCUGAAAUUCGCCUUCAUGAAGCCGGAAUUGCUAGUAAUGGCAGGUCAGCAUACUGCCGUGAAUACGUUCCCGGGCCUUGUACACACCGCCCGUCACACCAUGAGAGUUGGGAAUACCCGAAGCCUGUGAGCUAACUAUACGAGGCAGCAGUCGAAGGUAGAAUCAAUGAUUGGGGUGAAGUCGUAACAAGGUAUC
rnacentral:rRNA from 1 species